rnacentral:snRNA from 2 species
AGCUUUGCGCAGUGGCAGUAUCGUAGCCAAUGAGGUUUAUCCGAGGCGCGAUUAUUGCUAAUAUAAUAAAUUAUUAAUAUUAUUGUUUUAUUUUUAUAUAAAAGCUAAAGCAUAAAGCUCUUAGCAAAUA